rnacentral:tRNA from 1 species
GCUAAAUUAGCAAAAAGGUCAAUGCAGAAGACCUAAGCCCUUCAACCAAAGGUUCAAAUCCUUUACUUAGCU